GCCGCUUAGGGGCGUAGCUACCGGGGAGCAGGGGGUGCAACUGGGCCAGGGGCCGCACCCCCGCAGGGCCCCCCAGCAGAUCGCGCGCACUGCAGCCGGCUGCAGUGCGAGAGAAAAAUCACACGGACGACGGGCCCAGCUGAGCGGCCGGUCCCCAUCUAGUUCUGUUACUGGUGCCGCUGCGCAUGUUUUGAUGCAUUGGUGUCAGAACAUGCCACAUGGGAGACCUGGGCGGCGCCAUCUCGUCUCUGGCGUCGGUGAAGACUGGAAUGCCGGAUGAAGCCCCAUUCAAUGAGUUGGAGGUAUUUACUGGAACUUGAGCAGAUAACAUGGUUCUAUUAACAUCAGAAUUCAUUGCGCAACUGCCAUCAGUGGUUACAUCAUCAAUGAAGCUACAUAAUACAGUGGCUACCGUCACUUUCCUCGACACAGUUUUUCUUCUCCAGUUGAACAAUGGCAAUUACAGUAUGGACUCCAAAUGGUAGAAAAAAGCCACCCACUCUAUUACCUGCACUAAUGAAGCAAUGCAUACAUAAAGCAUAUAUAGAGCUACCAAAUAAUAGCUACAUAUUCAUCAAUAAUGUUGAUAUUUGGUCAGUCACAACUCUUCCACUUUAUAAUAAUGGAUAUUCACUUUUCUAUUUGGCUGGCACAUGCCAGGAAACAUUCAUAGUUUUAAUGACCCAUCAAAAAGGGGAUAAAUCCCUUCAAAUAGAAACAUUCAAAACGUUUUCCAAUUAACAUGAAUAUUGCCAUGUAAACCUUCAAAAUCCCCAUGGGCAAAACAGCUACCUGUAAAGAACAGUUUUGUUAAAAAAAGACACCAAUUUGCGUACAAAUUAGUGAAAGCAGUGCGAAAAUGUAUAACACAAACACUUAACGACCAACUAGGGGCCACAGUGUCCAAUGCCCGAAUCCAUUUAGACUCCUACUGUUACUAUUUCCCCCACAUAUCAGGGGGGGGUACAGAUUCAAUCAACACACACCGAAUGGAGGGAAGUGAGUGUCCAAAAUUUGCGCAAUGUCUCGCAAGAGGAGUGUCAGCUCUCCCAGAAGCCAAGGCUGUACAUACUGUAUAGUAGACCUCUGGUUAUUCAUUCGGAUUCAAAAAGUUGUAGUACAUUUCCCCACAUAGUACAAACCACAGCGGCAUAUAAUACAGUACACCACAUGCUCAGAAAGGCACGUCAAUCUAUGCUGAAUUUUUCGUAGUUUUUGCCACUAUGUGGGUGAGAAAAAUAUGAUCCAGUUAAAAGAAAGCCACAGGUAAUGCAUCCAUUGCAUCUUGUUAGACUUAAGCCACAAAUUGUGCAUGUAAUACUGUAUUUCUAUCUGUAUCCUUACGAUAUAGUGUAGUACCAACAUCACUAAUAGUGCGAAAAAUUCUCAUAUCUAGUAAGUGUAAUGCAGGGCCGCCAUCAGGGGACACAGGGGGUACAUUUGUAUUGGGCCUAAAGUAGGGCCCAGCUGUGCUGCACUUUUGGAAUUAGCCAGGACACCAUGACAGCAUCGAAGAGCCGAAGCCAUGAAAAGACCAGGAGCUGCAAAUGGAGCCGAAGCCGCAAAAAGAGUCAAAGCCACGAAAAGACCCGAA